UAAUACAUCAGUAGCUUAAACUUUUAGAGAGUCAUGUUUACCUAAAGUGAAACCCAGAGACUAUUUUGUUAAUGUUUAUGUCAACUACCAUUUUCCAUUAAUGAUUUGUCUUGUUUUCUUUGAUGAUCCUUGGUUUUCUGCUUAGUCUUUUCCUCAGUCCCAAUGUGUAGAAAAUUGUCAUCCUGGAUUUGUCAAACAAGUUCGGCAAGGAGAGCCAGUUUGCUGUUAUGACUGUGUUCCUUGUCCAGAGGGGACCUUCUCCACUCAGGAAGAUACUGAAAAAUGCACCAAGUGCCCAGAAGAUCAGUAUCCAACUGAGAACAGAGUCCAAUGUAUCCCCAAAAGAAUAAUCUUCCUAUCCUAUGAAGAACAUCUGGGAAUUAUCCUCGUCGCCUUUGCCCUAUUCCUGUUCCUAACCACAGCCUUUGUUUUAAUCCUAUUCAUUAAAUAUCGAGACACUCCCAUUGUCAAAGCCAACAAUCGGGAUCUCUCCUA